rnacentral:rRNA from 1 species
UACGAAGGGGGGCUAGCGUUGCUCGGAAUCACUGGGCGUAAAGGGUGCGUAGGCGGGUCUUUUAAGUCAGGGGUGAAAUCCUGGAGCUCAACUCCAGAACUGCCUUUGAUACUGAAGAUCUUGAGUUCGGGAGAGGUGAGUGGAACUGCGAGUGUAGAGGUGAAAUUCGUAGAUAUUCGCAAGAACACCAGUGGCGAAGGCGGCUCACUGGCCCGGUACUGACGCUGAGGCACGAAAGCGUGGGGGAGCGAACAGG